AAAUAGAAAGCAAAUUGCACUCAGUUUCGACCUGACUUUUGGUGAAUCUUCACCUCUAUUUA
rnacentral:tRNA from 1 species